UGGCGGCGUGCCUAAUACAUGCAAGUCGAGCGGCAGCACGGUCUUCGGACUGGUGGCGAGCGGCGGACGGCUGAGUAACGCGUAGGAAUAUACCCCAAAGUGAGGGAUAACUGCCCGAAAGGGUGCUAAUACCGCAUGUGGUCUUCGGACUAAAGCCUUCGGGCGCUUUGGGAAUAGCCUGCGUAAGAUUAGCUAGUUGGUGAGGUAAUGGCUCACCAAGGCGACGAUCUUUAGCUGGUCUGAGAGGAUGACCAGCCAGACUGGAACUGAGACACGGUCCAGACUCCUACGGGAGGCAUCAGUAGGGAAUCUUCCACAAUGGGCGAAAGCCUGAUGGAGCAACGCCGCGUGCAGGAUGAAGGCCCUCGGGUCGUAAACUGCUUUUAUGUGCGAAGAAUAUGACGGUAACACAUGAAUAAGGGUCGGCUAACUACGUG
rnacentral:rRNA from 1 species